rnacentral:rRNA from 1 species
AGAACAAGACAAGGACGGGAGAACCCGAACAUUUAUUGUAACAAGGACGAAAAAGUUAUGUUACUCUUCGUUUCGAAAACGUGAAAGAUUUUUUUCUAUUGUAAACCUUCGUACUACAAUAACAAAAAGUAUUGUCUAAUUACAGUUGAAGUACUAGUAACGUAUUUGUAAAGUCUAGGUUCAGACACCCUUUUAUCGUAUAUAAAGGGUCUUACGUACCUAGGUUUGUCCUUGACACGUUCCGUUAUAAGAGAAACCUAGUGGCUACCUGUCCCUUUCUAUGGUGUUGUGUGACCGCUCCACGAGCAACCAGUUCCUGGAACUUCACAACGGUAUACCUCUAACAUGAGUUUAACCUCUCUCUCCUCAAUUAGAAUCACCACCAGUCUUCGUCGCGCAGGUCGAACGAGCACGUGAUAUGGUUUUACGUCUGUAGAUAGAAGAACUGCUAGGAAAGUCACGACAACUACGGGUAUGUCGGUGUUCAGAUAAGUUACUUAUACAGUACUCACGAGAUAGCCUGUUCUGACAAGAGAACCACUGCGUGGUUCACCUAAAAGAUGGACAUAAACUGAGGUAAAACAAUUACAGUCUACCUCUCCAAUAAUCCAGACGUGGAAUAGUUCUAGAUAACCGUCUAACACUUCUUAAAUUUCUGGAACAUUUACGGGUAUUUCUAUGUUAACCACAAAGGCUACAAUCAUUGUUAUAUUGGUGAGCUUCUAGAUUCCUUCAUAGUCACUUCCUCUGUCUACCAUAAGUAUGUCUUAGACACUUCGGUAGUGGCCGUCUAGUUGACUAGGUCUUUCUCCUUUCUCUUUGUCCCCUACGUCCACAGUUCGGAAUAUACGAAAUGGACACGGUCUUGUUUCCGGAGGACAUAAAGAGAGAAACAUAAUAAAGAGUGUAUUAAAAGCAUCGACCCGUUUAUAGUGUCUUAAGUACCUACCGACGAUUACAGGUUUUAGGAGUACAAUCAUACGACUUCAAUUAAAGACACAUGUAAUAAUAGCCUCAAACGUGUCACAAGAAGAACGAUAGUUCUAGAAACCGUCAGCAACAAGAACCCUAGGUCUGUAGUGCUAGGAAUAAAAGGGUCGAUGAGUUAAGUAAUAAGGCACGUGGUUACAGGAAAAAACUAAGAUGAGGAGAACCUUCCCAAGAAUCGGCCCAGAGAAGUCUAAACUCAUAGCAACUGGAACUACAAGGUAAGCGGAAGCAUAAAUCGGAACCACGGUCGAAUUUGCGUAUAUCGUUAGAUCCCCAUGACCGACAACAAUGUACCGUUCAAGACAAACAUAGACACGGUUACUAUCAAAACCGUUAAUCCGACGUCUCCAUGAUGGAUCGGAGCCGGUUCCUUAACUACGCCUAGUUACCAUGGUGGUUCAGACGAGAUCGCUUAGUGAAUCCACUUAGCUAACGUCCCCGAUAUUGGUAUUCCCGGAAACUCUUUCUUCUAGCAAAGAAACGAUUUUUAAACCUGGAACAACUGUUCUUACGGUCGGGUAUAAAGAUAUUAAAACGUAGUUGACUUACCAACUAAGUUGCAGACCUCUAUUACUCGCGGCGUCAAGAAAGAAAAAGACGGAAACAGUACCGGGAAGAAGGAGUUCCUUGAAAAUCAGGACCAAAACACCCUUACCGUAACAGGAUACCAGAAAGGGAUUUAUACAGUAAACAAAAGAGAUAAGUUUUGGUUACGUUGGACCGCUUAGUUUAUUAGAGCCACCUUGCCCACUUGGUCAUGUACCUGUAUGUUUCACUUCGUCGUCUUCAACAACUCCUUUUAGCUGGUAGUGGUCUAACCGGGGUUCUACCAUUACACCUCGAAUCUCUAAACUUCUAGUCCAUAUCCUUUCUACGAGGGGAACAUGAUGUACCUUAGUGUACGUCCAAACUUCGACCUUUAUUCUAACCAUAUCAACCAGCUUGCCCUUCACCGUUCUGUUGUAAUUAACCACGUAACAAAGCAGAACAACUUGGGCGGCUUCCCUUUUAUUAAUAUCUGAGACACCUGUAGUCAUGUUAUCCGAACGUACUGGACGCAAGCGCAAACCCAUAGUAAGGUGUUCUAGGUUGUGAAAAAGUCCCAUGUCAUUCUAUGUUAGAUCUAGGAGAACCCGUUAAGAGUCUAGUUGUUUAUACCCUCCAAGAACUGUUUACAGUUGAAGAACUUCGACAGGUCCUCUUCCUAGUGCCUAACCUAAGUGUACAACACCUUCUGCCCAGCUUGACCUCAUACCCAGUUUCUGUCGAGAAGACAGACCCUGCGCGUGAAAACUCUUCUACGGCAUAGAAUCAAGAACUACUUCGUUGUCGGAGAUAUCUGUUACGUUGUCUACGACAGGAAGUCUUUUGUUAGGCCUGUCUUAAGUUUAUAACGUGACAAUAAUGUCAACGUGUGGCAUAUGGUUGUCAAUGCCUGACACUAUACCAUGAACGUUACUCGCUACCCUCUCAUCACCUCAUACUGUUUGGAUGUUUCGAGUACCUUUGACUUCCUAGAGAGAAGGCGUUUGACCAGUUGCUCAUGACCAGUAUGUGUAGCUUGCCUUUAUAAAUCUUCUCUGACAGUUAAAACUAACGAAUGAGCGACGUCGAAAGGUUCUUUAUUUUCUAUUUAAUCUAAAAUCUUUUAUCACGGUGCUAACUUCUAUAUGUCAUUAGAUACGAUGGAGUCUCCUUAAGUAGAUAAACCUUAGACUUCUUUCCGUCAUCAUAAAUAACAGUCCGUUAAAGAAAACGAUGGUCUUUAAGACACGUUAUGUGUCACCUGACGGAGACGGGAAGUCAUAACCACUUCGACUCGUCUCAUUUGGGGACUUCUCUAUCAUCUUCCGAUUUGAUCUCCAUGAAGUUUAGAUGUUGGAUGCGUACGCUACGCUACACUCGUAUACACAAACGACUGUCACAAUACCAGCUCAGCAAACAGCUAAUCGAUUACGUAAGUGAAGGUGUAGUAAAUGUCAUCGAAACAUUCAAAUACGACUUACGUAACUGAAAUACAUGCUCCAAAGUCUGAUACUUUACAUUUAUCUACGCUAACCAAAGACAACAGGUACAUAAAGAGGUCACCUUUCGUCCAACGAAAACAGCAAUUCUGACGGGUAGGUAUAACGUUACUAUAUUACUCACAAAAAUAAGCG